UUUAGGAUUUAAUUGUCUUCUUGA
rnacentral:siRNA from 1 species